UGUGCCCUACGGGGCGCAGCAGUGGGGAAUAUUGCACAAUGGGGGAAACCCUGAUGCAGCAACGCCGCGUGAGUGAAGAAGUAUUUCGGUAUGUAAAGCUCUAUCAGCAGGGAAGAAACAGGACAGUACCUGACUAAGAAGCCCCGGCUAACUACGUGCCAGCAGCCGCGGUAAUACGUAGGGGGCAAGCGUUAUCCGGAUUCACUGGGCGUAAAGGGAGCGCAGGCGGCAUGGCAAGUCUGAUGUGAAAACCCGGGGCCCAACCCCGGGUGUG
rnacentral:rRNA from 1 species